GCCGUUUUAUCAACAGAUAUUAUCUUAGCGGAUCUUAUCUUAAAUCCUUGACUUACGAUUUCAUUUACGAUCCGCUAAUACCCGUUUUAUGAACGCCGUCGUAAGUAUCGAGUCGCAGCUAUGAUUUUAAUUAAGCGUACGAUCUGGAAAAUCGCGAACCAGUCGAAAAACCCCACACGAUUUCCCGCGUUUAUGUCAAAAAAGCAAGAUGGCCGACAACGUAAACAGAGGCAAGUAGUUAAUGAUAGUUAUGAUUUACUAAUAGAAGUACUAAAUGUAGGAAUAUCAUGACUCAUGUCUUCAAAUAUUGUAGCGUGUAUGUCUGUCAAUAUUUCUCGUAAUUGAUACUGAGUUUUUAUUAAAUUCAUAUCGUUAUUUUACACCAAAGAAUCGAAAUGUUUUAUGCAUUUAUUUUAUGUAUUUAUUUUCAAAAUUCUAGUUGCAAGUACUGUUAUAACGAAAUCAUAUUUUCCGGCGUUUGGAUCUGUCAGCCUUUAAAAUGACAAAUCGUUAUUGUGUUUUUAUAUCUAAUGUUUUGGCAGAAGAGUAUUCGAGUAUCAAUCAAUACAUUAUUUCUAUGCCCCACAUUUGAAGAAAACUAUUUAUUUUUAUGUUUGUUUUUAGAGUAAAUGUAUCUCUCUUUUCAAGGAAAAUUCUAAUCUUACACAUUUCCGCUUGUUUCGCUAUAUAUUUGUUUUCGUACUUCUUCUACUUCGUACUUAUAAUGAGAAUGCUCCUCGAGUAGGGAGCGAACCCACGAACUCCCGAUCGCUAGGCGGACACCUCAUCCACUACACCACCGCGAUAGUGUAUACGGAUGCCUACUGUAUAUUUAUUUUUGGCAUAGAUUUUACUUUAUUACACAGUGUACAUAGCUUUAUAAUUAAUUUUCAAUUGUAAACACAAACCUGAAAACUAUCACUCAAUUUCAGAGUGAACAGCAUUUGAUUGUGUAGCCCCAAGAUAGACAAAGUUAUCAAGAAAUGGACGGACAUUAAGACGCACAAAAACAACCAUGUGUGAAUGAUGAGAUCUCAUCCAUCACAUCAGUUGAACAAAAGUUGGAAAUCCGCGAAACAGCGCAUGUGAGGUCCAGUCAUUUGAGCGGGUAAGAAAAAAAAGAUAUAGUGUUCCACUUCAUUGUUCCCUAGCUGUAGAGUUGUUGGAGAAAACCCUGUAUUGUUAUGUUACAAAGAUAAUUAAAUAAAGGAGUAGAAUUUA